UACGAAGGGGGCUAGCGUUGCUCGGAAUGACUGGGCGUAAAGGGCGCGUAGGCGGAUGGCACAGUCAGAUGUGAAAUUCCCGGGCUUAACCUGGGGGCUGCAUUUGAUACGUGUUGUCUAGAGUGAGGAAGAGGGUUGUGGAAUUCCCAGUGUAGAGGUGAAAUUCGUAGAUAUCGGGAGGAACACCAGUGGCGAAGGCGGCGACCUGGGCCAAUAUUGACGCUGAGGUGCGAAAGCGUGGGGAGCAAACAGG
rnacentral:rRNA from 1 species